GGAGCUAACGCGUUAAGUAGACCGCCUGGGGAGUACGGUCGCAAGAUUAAAACUCAAAUGAAUUGACGGGGGCCCGCACAAGCGGUGGAGCAUGUGGUUUAAUUCGAUGCAACGCGAAGAACCUUACCUACUCUUGACAUCCAGAGAAGCCAGCGGAGACGCAGGUGUGCCUUCGGGAGCUCUGAGACAGGUGCUGCAUGGCUGUCGUCAGCUCGUGUUGUGAAAUGUUGGGUUAAGUCCCGCAACGAGCGCAACCCUUAUCCUUGUUUGCCAGCGAGUAAUGUCGGGAACUCCAGGGAGACUGCCGGUGAUAAACCGGAGGAAGGUGGGGACGACGUCAAGUCAUCAUGGCCCUUACGAGUAGGGCUACACACGUGCUACAAUGGCGCAUACAGAGGGCGGCGAACUUGCGAGAGUAAGCGAAUCCCAAAAAGUGCGUCGUAGUCCGGAUUGGAGUCUGCAACUCGACUCCAUGAAGUCGGAAUCGCUAGUAAUCGUAGAUCAGAAUGCUACGGUGAAUACGUUCCCGGGCCUUGUACACACCGCCCGUCACACCAUGGGAGUGGGCUGCAAAAGAAGUGGGUAGUUUAACCUUCGGGAGGACGCUCACCACUUUGUGGUUCAUGACUGGGGUGAAGUCGUAACAAGGUAA
rnacentral:rRNA from 1 species